GCCCUAGAAGGAAUUUAAGCUUCCAUGCAGUGGAGGACGGCAGUAGCAGCACAGCAGCGGGCUCCCGUCACUUUCUUCUCUUCCUCUUGUGAUUCCCCUGAGAUCGAUUCCUUUCUUUGGGAAAUCAUUCCCAAAAUGCCCAAAAACUCUUCUCCCUCCUCUAUCUUCUGCGGGAUUUUGGCCUCCGAAGAGCUUGCCGAAGAGAAGUUGGGAACAGCCCCCGGUGGGGGAAGAGGGAUGCCUCCCCGAUGGGGAAGGAGGAAUGAAUUCUCCGUUUCAUGCGUGGCCCCUUUUAUAGGCUGCCCACCUCUCUCUCCAUUCCCGGUUGAGAGGAGAUGACGAUGAAUCACGGAAAAGACGCAGGAGGUUGCUGGGACUGGAGCUUAUCCGCAAGAAGAUUGGGAUGAUCUAUGGUCGAUGGAGGCUGAUCGCAAAUGGGAGAGAGACUGCAAACGUGGAGGGAAGGAGCCUUGAAUCACGGAUGGUGGCUGGCUGUGAUUCGCGAACGUGAAGAAUCUGGAAGAAGCUUGCGGAGUAUCCGGGCGUGGGAGUAGAUUGGAAGCGAGACUUCAUC
rnacentral:lncRNA from 1 species